CCCAGACCCCACCCAUGGGCUGCAGGUCCCUGGUGCCAAAGUCAAGCCAUUUCCUUCCGGGAUGACUUCAGCCCCCAAGACCCUGGCUGGGAUGUCACUCAGCUCCCUCCCCUGUCAGGUAUCUGGACCCCCAUCCCCCCCAAUCCUGGUGCCUCCACCUGAAUCUGGGAACUUUACUUCCAAGUGAAGCUAGAGACGUGGAGACAAUGGCCAAGGCGGGUGGAGAGGAAAGAAAGUGAGGAAGUGUCGAGCUCUGGACGCUGCGCUCUAAACUCUGUUCUCCACAGCAUUUAAAUGCCGGCCGGCAAGCGGAUUAAUAAGGUCUGGGUCACAGCAGCAGCGUCUAUAUUUAAUCUAUCUGCAACGCCAGUUGGUCGGGCCGUGUGAAUAUUGAUGGCCGGGCGGGAUUGAGGACAGGCAGCAUGGCACCGGCUUUAUCUCUCGGGCGCAGGCAGCCGGGCCCUUAUCAGGACAGCCCGGCUGCCGCAGCUGCGCCUGCCAGGGCCCGCACCCCGCCUCCCGCUGCCUGCUUUGUAAUCAGAAGAGAAGAAGUUGCUGCCUUGAUAUUUCCAUUUUUAUCACUUUUAUUUACUUCAUUUCAAUGUCUUUCAGGGAAUAUUUUCUUUGCACCAAGGCAAGGCAAGGCUGACGGUUGCUUACAGCUUUCUGCCGCCCCUGCCCCUCAGCCAGGCUGGGACCGGGGAGAAGAGAUUUGGGAUUCCCAGCCCAGCCCUGAUGGUGAGGGAUGAGUUACAAGGAGCCUUAACCCACGGCCCUGGAGGAGGGCCCUGGGAGCCUGAUCCUGAGAGGAGCCUGUUGAGGAACAGAUGAGUUCAAGCCUCCGUCCCUCCACCACCCCCUCGGAUCUGGAUCUGGGGGAGCCCUGAUUAUCUCCCUUUCCCGGAUGAGGAAGCUGAGGUUCCGAGAGGUUAUCAGUCACAGUCACUUUGCUCGGAGCUGGCAACUCGUGACAGAGAAAGGAAUUGCAGCGUGGCCGGGCCUUCGGAGACGGUCUCCGUCCGGCACAGGGCUGGCGCCGAGGGGGCUCCGCCAGCGUCCGCUCGCCUUGCCCGUGUCUCCUCCCUCAUGUGUGAGGCUGGAUGGUCAUAUCCCUGUUACUCAGUGAAGGGAGACAGCGUGUGCAGCAGCUCACUGUGAGGACCCAGCCUCUCUGUGCCUGGCUGAGUGUCAUCAAUGCCCCUGCACUGGAUUGAAUAGUUUCCCCCAGAGAUAUGUCCAUACCCUGUUUGGAGAAAGGGUCUUUGGAGAUUUGAUGAAGUCAAGGAUCUCGAGAUUUCAUGCUGAAGAACAGAAAGGCUAGGCGCUGGUGGGAUCGAUGUGGUUUCUGUCACUGAAGAGAGAAAGGUCAAGGCUGGAAAUGAUGCAUCGCCUCAUCACCAGGAGCCCCAGAGGGCCGUGACAACACAGCCGGAACAGGCCUCUCAUAGCCCGGCAAGUGUUGAUGGGCCAUGACAGCCUCCAGGACUGCACGGCCAUCCCAUUGGUGUUUCCUUGCAACCAGCACAGAUGAGACACUGUCAUCACCCCCAUUGUGCAGCCAGAAACACCAAGGCCAAGAGCUGGAAGAUGCCCACCUGUCAGGACAGGCAGAGCCACAGGACCUCCCGGGGAAGGUU